AUUCCAGCUCUAAUAGCGUAUAUUAAUGUUGUUGCAGUUAAAAAGCUCGUAGUUGGAUUUUGGAGUUUGACAAGUGGUCUGCCUAAGGUGUGUACUGCUUGUCGGCUCUUCUUUUCUGGGGACCACGCUGCUCUUUAUUGAGGGGUGCUGGGAAUCAGAUCUUUUACUUUGAAAAAAUUAGAGUGUUCAAAGCAGGCCCACGCAUUGAAUACAUUAGCAUGGAAUAAUGGAAUAGGACUUUGGUCUUAUUUUGUUGGUUUCUAAGGCCGAGGUAAUGAUUAAUAGGGAUAGUUGGGGGCGUUUAUAUUCCAUUGUCAGAGGUGAAAUUCUUGGAUUUAUGGAAGAUAAACUACUGCGAAAGCAUUCGCCAAGGAUGUUUUCAUCA
rnacentral:rRNA from 1 species